rnacentral:rRNA from 1 species
CUACGGGAGGCUGCAGUGGGGGAUAUUGCACAAUGGGCGAAAGCCUGAUGCAGCAACGCCGCGUGAAGGAAGACGGUUUUCGGAUUGUAAACUUCUAUCAGCAGGGAAGAAAAUGACUGUACCUGACUAAGAAGCCCCGGCUAACUACGUGCCAGCAGCCGCGGUAAUACGUAGGGGGCAAGCGUUAUCCGGAUUUACUGGGUGUAAAGGGUACGUAGGCGGUUUAUUAAGUCAGAUGUGAAAGCCCGGGGCUCAACCCCGGGACUGCAUUUGAAACUGGUGAACUAGAGUACAGGAGAGGUAAGUGGAAUUCCUAGUGUAGCGGUGAAAUGCGUAGAUAUUAGGAAGAACACCAGUGGCGAAGGCGGCUUACUGGACUGUAACUGACGCUGAGGUACGAAAGCGUGGGGAGCGAACAGGAUUAGAUACCCCCGUAGUC